CAUAAACCCCGCGUUCGGUUGUAAUCCGUGACGGUAGUGAACCCCAUGCCAUGCUCUAUUGCUCACUAACAAACGCUAAAAUAAAUAACAAAUGUGAAAAUUUGGCACCUCCAAAAUCAAUUUCAGAAAAAGGUCUAAGAUGGGUAGAGAUAUAUUUUUUUGUUGAAAUAGAAAUAUAUUUCAAAGUGGGCAUUAUGAUAUCAAAGACAAAAAUAGGGGAUAUAUUUUGGCAAUUUUUUGCAUCCACUGAUUGAGACCU
rnacentral:lncRNA from 1 species